AGCAGCCGCGGUAAUUCCAGCUCCAAUAGCGUAUAUUAAAGUUGUUGCAGUUAAAAAGCUCGUAGUUGAAUUUCGGGAUCAAUUUGUCGGUCGUGCCUCGGUACGUACUGGCAUUAUUGGUUUCUACCUUCUGAAGAACCUUGAUGUCAUUAAUUUGGUGUCUUGGGGAAUCAGGACUGUUACUUUGAAAAAAUUAGAGUGUUUAAAGCAGGCAUACGUUUGAAUACAUUAGCAUGGAAUAAUGAAAUAGGACGUUUGAUUCUAUUUUGUUGGUUUCUAGGAUCGACGUAAUGAUUAAUAGGGAUAGUUGGGGGCAUUAGUAUUCAAUUGUCAGAGGUGAAAUUCUUGGAUUUAUUGAAGACUAACUACUGCGAAAGCAUUUGCCAAGGAUGUUUUCAUUAAUCAAGAACGAAAGUUAGGGGAUCGAAGACGAUCAGAUACCGUCGUAGU
rnacentral:rRNA from 1 species